GACGAACGCUGGCGGCGUGCUUAACACAUGCAAGUCGAACGGAAAGGCCCUGCUUGCCGGGUGCUCGAGUGGCGAACGGGUGAGUAACACGUGGGUGAUCUGCCCCUUACUUUGGGAUAAGCCUGGGAAACUGGGUCUAAUACUGGAUAGGACCAUGCUGUAGGUGGUGUGGUGGAAAGAUUAGUUUCGGUAAGGGAUGAGCUCGCGGCCUAUCAGCUUGUUGGUGGGGUAAUGGCCUACCAAGGCGUCGACGGGUAGCCGGCCUGAGAGGGUGGACGGCCACAUUGGGACUGAGAUACGGCCCAGACUCCUACGGGAGGCAGCAGUGGGGAAUAUUGGACAAUGGGCGCAAGCCUGAUGCAGCGACGCCGCGUGGGGGAUGACGGCCUUCGGGUUGUAAACUCCUUUCAGCCAUGACGAAGCCUUCGGGUGACGGUAGUGGUAGAAGAAGCACCGGCUAACUACGUG
rnacentral:rRNA from 1 species